UGAGGAAUAUUGGUCAAUGGGCGAGAGCCUGAACCAGGCCAAGUCGCGUGAGGGAAGACGGUCCUAUGGAUUGUAAACCUCUUUUGCCGGGGAGCAAAGAGCGGCACGUGUGCCGCGCCGAGAGUACCCGGAGAAAAAGCAUCGGCUAACUCCGUGCC
rnacentral:rRNA from 1 species